CCUACGGGAGGCAGCAGUGAGGAAUAUUGGUCAAUGGCCGCAGGGCUGAACCAGCCCAGUCGCGUGAGGGAUGACGGUCCUAUGGAUUGUACACCUCUUUUGUCAGGGAGCAAAGGGCGCCACGUGUGGCGUUUUGCGAGUACCUGAAGAAAAAGCAUCGGCUAACUCCGUGCCAGCAGCCGCGGUAAUACGGAGGAUGCGAGCGUUAUCCGGAUUUAUUGGGUUUAAAGGGUGCGCAGGCGGAAUGUCAAGUCAGCGGUAAAAUUUCGGGGCUCAACCCCGUCGUGCCGUUGAAACUGGCGUGCUUGAGUGAGCGAGAAGUAUGCGGAAUGCGGGGUGUAGCGGUGAAAUGCAUAGAUAUCACGCAGAACUCCGAUUGCGAAGGCAGCAUACCGGCGCUCAACUGACGCUCAUGCACGAAAGCGUGGGUAUCGACAGGAUUAGAUACCCUUGUAGUC
rnacentral:rRNA from 1 species